rnacentral:sRNA from 1 species
CAUGGCUUCUUCUUCUUCUUCAUCUUCUUCGUCUCA